rnacentral:lncRNA from 1 species
UGUGGAGUGAGGACAGAGGGGAGAACGUGAUGUCGUGUGUGGGACUUCAACAGAGAGCACUGACAAAGAACGUCCAGGCCACAGGGAGCCACUGUGGGAGCCGGAGCAGGGGAGCGACAGGAAUGGACACGGGGCUCCCCCGCAGUGACCCAGCCCUCUAGCCAGGUGUGCACAGCAGAGCAGGAUGACAAGAACAGACAUGCUACUGAUGAGCACUCACUGAGAGCGGGUCGUUGUGGAAGCUAAUGAGUUAAUACGUACAAACUGUCUGGAAUGCAGAGACGUCCGUUAGCCAUUACUCGAAUCGUUAUGAUGUGCUGUGGACCAAGGCUUCCUGGCCAGUGGUCCGAAGACCUGGGCUGUGAUCCACCUCUGCCGCUACUCUCCACGUGGCCUUGGGGGCCUACUAUCAGUCUGUGCAUCUCUCACGCAAUGUGUGCACCACGUGGCUCUGCUGCAUGGCACCUUCCCUCUGGACUCAGGCCGCCAGGGCAGGCUGGGUCGGGAAUGCCACCGUGGCCUCAGAAGGAGGAGAAGUUGUCAAGCCCACGCCGGUUCUUGCAGCUGCUCAGCCCCUGUGCCCUGCCCGAGAACAACAAGGGGCAGGGCCGCCAAAUCCUCCAGGGAGGGAGGAGCCACCACAAGGGCCCUGAGCGUGGGCGAGCCAUCAUCCAGUUCCACACCACGCUACGAUUCUGCAGACUAUCCCAGAAGCAAGGACAACCACUGAAUAAAUUCUCCAUUUGCAGCAAGUCACGCUGGCCACAGCGAGGAGGACAACAGACUGGAAACGGGCAAGAGUGAUAAUAAAUUGGGAGAAAAAUUGGGAGGGCGUUUCAAUUUUCCAAGCGCAAAACAGGACAGUCCUUUAGACGAGGGUGAUGGCAGUGGAAGUGGGGAGACACCAACAGGUUUAAAAGAUGGGAGGAUUGACUGAGGGGCCUGGGUGGCUAUGUGGCCCCAGGGUGGGGAAGGAAGGGAGCAGGCUUGGCUUCUCCUGUCUCACCAGCCGCGGGCUCUGGUCUUUGGGGAAGGCCGGUGAGCCUAUUCUCUGUUUGUUCUGGGGCUCCCUGUGUUCUCCCAAUAAAUCUCCCAUCUUGUUCAAAAGAAGAGCAUGAGCUGAAUAAAGGAGGGAACCCACGGCUUAAUAAGGCGAGGAGUGCUGAGUGAACUGAAGAAUGAGUGAUAGAGCCACCAGGGGGAUUCACUCAUGUCCCCAGCUGUUCAAAGAAUGAAGAGAAGGUAGGCUCAACCAGAAGAAAAAGGAAGUGGUCCCCACUGGGCAUACUCCGAGGGACCCCUCCUCCCCCACCAACGCCUCAGGGUCUCCACUCCUCCAGGGUGCGGACCAAUUUCAGCUGAGACAGAGAAGGGAGGGGUGGGCGGGAAGGAGGAGGGAAGGAGAGGCAGGCGACAUGGACGGUUCCGAGGGACCUCUGCCUCAUCCUCUCCUCCCGCCGUGUGGCCUCUCUGUGCUUCCCUUUCGGAGUCCACAAUUUCACCAUCCGUGGUGGGCGGGUUUGGGAGUCACCAACACGCCAGGAGAGAUUUUCUGUCGCAGCAGCAGCAUUGGGCAGCUCACAGGAGCUCAGAGCCCAGGGUCCUCCUCUGCCCUGGGUGCCCUUAACGGCCCGAAGGGGAAGGACUCAAAUGUGCAACUGUGUGACUGUGGCCUCCGCUCAGCCCAGCCCGCCUCUGGAGCAUCAUGGUCACUGUCCGAGAUGCUCACGGGCUGACUCGCAGCUGGAGACACGCUCUGAGACCAAGCCCCACCGUGUCAGAG